GUCGCAAGACCGGUGAAGACCUAGUGGCGAACGGGUGAGUAACACGUGAGGAACCUGCCCCGAAGACCGGGAUAACCCACCGAAAGGUGAGCUAAUACCGGAUACCUUCACGACGUCUCAUGGCGAUGUGAAGAAAUGGAUUCCGCUUCGGGAGGGUCUCGCGGCCUAUCAGCUAGUUGGUGAGGUAACGGCUCACCAAGGCGACGACGGGUAGCUGUUCUGAGAGGAAGAUCAGCCACACUGGGACUGAGACACGGCCCAGACUCCUACGGGAGGCAGCAGUGGGGAAUCUUGCGCAAUGGGCGAAAGCCUGACGCAGCGACGCCGCGUGCGGGAAGACGGCCUUCGGGUUGUAAACCGCUUUCAGCAGGGACGAAAAUGACGGUACCUGCAGAAGAAGCUCCGGCCAACUACGUGCCAGCAGCCGCGGUAAGACGUAGGGGGCGAGCGUUGUCCGGAAUUAUUGGGCGUAAAGGGCUCCUAGGUUGUUCAGUAAGUCGACUGUGAAAAUCCAAGGCUCAACCUUGGGACGCCAGUCGAUACUGCUGUGACUCGAGUUCGGUAGAGGAGUGUGGAAUUCCUGGUGUAGCGGUGAAAUGCGCAGAUAUCAGGAGGAACACCAACGGCGAAGGCAGCACUCUGGGCCGAUACUGACACUGAAGAGCGAAAGCAUGGGGAGCAAACAGGAUUAGAUACCCUGGUAGUCCAUGCCGUAAACGUUGGG
rnacentral:rRNA from 1 species